CGUUAAACAACACACACACAUCGACACGCGUUCCGGGGUGCCUGUAUGGGUCGGAUUUGCGGGAUGUGUGGAGGCCUAAC
rnacentral:sRNA from 1 species